CUCUCCACAUCUGUUUUUUGGUGUGUGUACAUAUGUGUGCAUGUCUAUUAGCAAUGUGUAUCACUGUGUACAUUACCCACUUGAGCUGAAGAGUUUUCCUCUGUGGGGAAUUCAAAAUGGUAAUGCGGCUUUAACAGCUGCGUGAAAUAACAGCCUAUGCCUGGAUCUAUACAGCGAAAGUGGCAACCAGAGUGAUGUUGUCUUUCUAUUUAUAACCUGCUUCUCUUGGCAGCCAUGACAGUUCAAAAUGCACUGUGCACAUGGUGGCGGCAUGACAGCUCGAGGCUGAGUCGAUACGUAAGCUGUAACCAGUCACCCUGCAUUGGACCACCACAAAUGAGGCCACAGAGAUAGGACCAUGAUGGGCUGUUCAAUGUGCUCAGCAGAGUGUGACCAACUGUCUACAGCCUGCUGGCUGCAAUAAACUCCUACCUCCACA